CCCGCUGACGAGCGGCGGACGGGUGAGUAAUGCAUAGGAAACUGCCCAGUAGUGGGGGAUAGCCCGGGGAAACCCGGAUUAAUACCGCAUACGCCCUUUGGGGGAAAGCAGGGGAUCUUCGGACCUUGCGCUAUUGGAUGUGCCUAUGUCGGAUUAGCUAGUUGGUGGGGUAAGAGCCUACCAAGGCGACCGAUUCCGUAGGCUGGUCUGAGAGGCAUGAUUCAGCCACAUCGGGACUGAGACACGGCCCGAACUCCUACGGGAGGCAGCAGUGGGGAAUAUUGGACAAUGGGGGCAACCCUGAUCCAGCCAUGCCGCGUGUGUGAAGAAGGCUUUCGGGUUGUAAAGCACUUUCAGUGGAGGAGGAAAACCCUGCGAUUAAUACUCGUAGAGCUUGACGUUACUCACAGAAGAAGCACCGGCUAACUCCGUGCCAGCAGCCGCCGGUAAUACGGAGGGUGCAAGCGUUAAUCGGAAAUUACUGGGCGUAAAGCGCGCGUAGGUGGUUUGGUAAGCGAGAUGUGAAAGCCCCGGGCUCAACCUGGGAACGGCAUUUCGAACUGUCAGGCUAGAGUAUGGUAGAGGAGUGUGGAAUUUCCUGUGUAGCGGUGAAAUGCGUAGAUAUAGGAAGGAACACCAGUGGCGAAGGCGGCACUCUGGACCAAUACUGACACUGAGGUGCGAAAGCGUGGGGAGCAAACAGGAUUAGAUACCCUGGUAGUCCACGCUGUAAACGAUGUCAACUAGCCGUUGGGACUCUUGAAGUCUUAGUGGCGCAGCUAACGCACUAAGUUGACCGCCUGGGGAGUACGGCCGCAAGGUUAAAACUCAAAUGAAUUGACGGGGGCCCGCACAAGCGGUGGAGCAUGUGGUUUAAUUCGACGCAACGCGAAGAACCUUACCUGGGCCUUGACAUGCAGAGAACUUUCCAGAGAUGGAUUGGUGCCUUCGGGAACUCUGACACAGGUGCUGCAUGGCCGUCGUCAGCUCGUGUCGUGAGAUGUUGGGUUAAGUCCCGUAACGAGCGCAACCCCUAUCCCUAGUUGCUAGCAGUUCGGCUGAGAACUCUAGGGAGACUGCCGGGUGACAAACCGGAGGAAGGUGGGGAAUGACGUCAGGUCAUUCAUGGCCCUUACGGCCAGGGCUACACACGUGCUACAAUGGUGCGUACAGAGGGCUGCAAACCCGCGAGGGGGAGCUAAUCUCACAAAACGCAUCGUAGUCCGGAUCGGAGUCUGCAACUCGACUCCGUGAAGUCGGAAUCGCUAGUAAUCGCGAAUCAGAAUGUCGCGGUGAAUACGUUCCCGGGCCUUGUACACACCGCCCGUCACACCAUGGGAGUGGAUUGCACCAGAAGUGGUUAGUCU
rnacentral:rRNA from 1 species